rnacentral:misc_RNA from 1 species
GAAAUGCGAUAAGUAGUGUGAAUUGGAGAAUUCAGUGAAUCAUCGAAUCUUUGAACGCACAUUGCGCCCCUUGGUAUUCCAUGGGGCAUGCCUGUUCGAGCGUCAUUUGUACCCUCAAGCUCUGCUUGGUGUUGGGUGUUUGUCCCGUCUCCGCGCGUGGACUCGCCCCAAAGUGAUUGGCAGCCGGCGUACUGGUCCCGGAGCGCAGCACAUGUCGCGCAAACGAGUGCCUUGGUACGGCGGCGUCCAUAAGCCCCUCUCUCACGCUCUUGACCUCGGAUCAGGUAGGGAUACCCGCUGAACUUAAGC